rnacentral:rRNA from 1 species
UACGGGAGGCAGCAGUGGGGAAUAUUGCACAAUGGGCGAAAGCCUGAUGCAGCUAUGCCGCGUGUAUGAAGAAGGCCUUAGGGUUGUAAAGUACUUUCAUCGGGGAGGAAAAAACAAAACUAAUAAUUUUAUUUCUUGACGUUACCCGAAAAAGAAGCACCGGCUAACUCCGUGCCAGCAGCCGCGGUAAUACGGAGGGUGCUAGCGUUAAUCAGAAUUACUGGGCGUAAAGAGCACGUAGGUGGUUUUUUUAAGUCAGAUGUGAAAUCCCUGGGCUUAACCUGGAACUGCAUUUUGAAACUGAAAUACUAGAGUAUCGUAGAGGGAGGUAGAAUUCUAGGUGUAGCGGUGAAAUGCGUAGAUAUCUGGAGGAAUACCUGUGGCGAAAGCGGCCUCCUAAACGAAUACUGACACUGAGGGUGCGAAAGCGUGGGGAGCGAAACAGGGAUUAGAUA